AUCAAAUUAGGUGAGUUAUUACCUUUAUGGACUUCUCUUGCAAAUAGCAACACCGACAAGAAUGGGGAACAACGCCAGAAAAGCUCCCUUUCUUGAGAGCAUUAACUCGGUCCAGGUCAAGGGCCUUGUAAUCUGAGUUAACACUUUCUGGAAUUGUUCAUGCAAAGCCUCCAGUGAACCGGUGUUAUCAAUCACAAUAUCUGCCUGUGACCUCUUAAGAUCCAGGGACAUCUGUGCAUUUAUUCUGCUUUUGGCAUCCUCCUCCAUUGAUCCAUCUCUAAUCAUGAGCCGCUGCAGCUGUGUCUUAGGAUCAACCCAAACGACAACAAUGGGUUUAGUCCACUUGUCCA
rnacentral:misc_RNA from 1 species